UACGUAGGGAGCGAGCGUUGUCCGGAUUCAUUGGGCGUAAAGAGCUCGUAGGCGGCUUGUUAAGUCGGAUGUGAAACCUCCAGGCUCAACCUGGAGUCGCCAUCCGAUACUGCCAUGGCUAGAGUCCGGUAGGGGCCCACGGAAUUCCUGGUGUAGCGGUGAAAUGCGCAGAUAUCAGGAGGAACACCGAUGGCGAAGGCAGUGGGCUGGGCCGGCACUGACGCUGAGGAGCGAAAGCGUGGGGAGCGAACAGG
rnacentral:rRNA from 1 species